CAGUGAAGAACCGCAUGAUCUAUAAUUCUGAUACGGCGUCGAUUCUUCGACGCUGUUUUCCAGCCUCGCCGUGACGUCACGCUGCGUAUCCCGAGCGCUCCCCGGAACGCGUGGUCCCGAUCGCGAGCACGUGGAAGUGAGGUCGAGAUGUUUCCGUGAGACGCGCGACUGAUCAUCAGGGAUGUUGUGGGGGGGGGGAGGACCAAAAGGAAUAGAAACGAGAGAAAACCCACCACGAAAAGCUGGAACCGAAGAGGAGCGAGCGAGAGGAGUCGUGGUCGGACACAUUCACACUCAAAAGGCGGCGUGGAGGGAAACAUCGGGGGGGGGGGGUACCCCGUUUUCUCCAGGGGCAGUGCAGUUGCAGACCCCCCCCCCCCCGUGCAGUCCCGUGUUUUACGGCCGCCGCCGCACUUACGACCAGCAGAGAUACCGAUCAGAAUGGGAAGGAUGCGACGCUGAAUGCAGUCGGCGUUGGAUUCAGUUUCACCGAGUCCUAAAACACACACACAAACACACAAACACCGCAUGGGUUUUAAUACUAUCUACUUCCUCCUUUCUUCGAGGGGACACAUACACCCUGAAUGGGCCCCUGUGGUGAUCUGCGUUGUGGUCGAGAGUGUUACAACUGCCACGCUGGUCUGCUUAAAGGGGCCGUGCUGCUGAUCCUCUUUCAGGGGGUCCGUACGUCGCCGCAGCGUUUCAGGCUUCUGCACGGCUGCAUGUUUCCGCCUGUUGUCAGUGAGCGAGUGCGUUCUUGUACUAAUUGCAUAAACUUUAGGAAUCUAUAAUAGCUGGGGGGGGGCGGGGGGGGCUUGAGAAUUUGAGAAUCUAAAGAGAAUUAUUGAUCCGUCCACAGCGAAAGUGAAAGUCGAAUGGACUUUGUAAGUGUUUUAAGAAGCUGCACCCGUGUUUGAAAUAAAUAUUUCACAGGUCUUUGUGUGAGUUUUCCUUUUCUUUCCCGUCACCCCGACGGCGGUCCCGGAUGUUACGCAUCGCCGCCUCCUGUUUACAGCUGCAGAGAGCGAAAGUGUUUCAUCUGUACGUGAGCUCCUCGCGCUCCUCCCCGAGGGUCAAUUACACGCGUCUUCACCUACUACAGAAGCUGAACCACAGCGCCGAGGAGUCGCCCUUCUUAUGCAAUUUGACAUUAUUGGCAAAACAAUGUGAAC
ensembl:lncRNA